AACUUUGAGCGGUGGAUCACUUGUUUCAUGCAUUGAUAAAGAACACUGCUAGCUGCGAGAAGUAACGUGAAUUGCAGGACACAUCGAUCAUCAACACUUUGAAUGCACUUUGCAGCCCCGGGUUACUCGCGGGAAUACGCCCGUAUGAGGGUUG